GAUGAACGCUGGCGGCGUGCCUAAUACAUGCAAGUCGAGCGAACAGACGAGGAGCUUGCUCCUCUGACGUUAGCGGCGGACGGGUGAGUAACACGUGGAUAACCUACCUAUAAGACUGGGAUAACUUCGGGAAACCGGAGCUAAUACCGGAUAAUAUAUUGAACCGCAUGGUUCAAUAGUGAAAGACGGUUUUGCUGUCACUUAUAGAUGGAUCCGCGCCGCAUUAGCUAGUUGGUAAGGUAACGGCUUACCAAGGCAACGAUGCGUAGCCGACCUGAGAGGGGGAUCGGCCACACGGGAACGGAGACAGGGUCAAAAGUCCUAGGGAAGGCGGCAGUAGGAAAUCUUCGGCAAUGGGGGAAAGCCGAAGGAGGAAACGCGGGGGGGGGGAGGAGGGGCUUCGGAUCGUAAAACUCUGUUAUUGGGAAGGAAAAAAUGGGUAAGAAACAAUGCACGUCUGAAGGGUACCUAAUAAGAAAGCAAGGGCAAAUAACGU
rnacentral:rRNA from 1 species